AUUGGACAAUGGGCGAAACCCUGAUCCAGCCAUGCCGCGUGCAGGAAGAAGGCCUUAUGGGUGGAAAACUGUUUUUAUAUGGAGGAAAAGAAAGGGACCGUGUAACCAUG
rnacentral:rRNA from 1 species